GCAUGGCAGGGGUUGGAAAGUUUUUCGGUGGGGGAUGGGCUCGCGGCCUAUCAGCUUGUUGGUGGGGUGAUGGCCUACCAAGGCGUCGACGGGUAGCCGGCCUGAGAGGGCGACCGGCCACACUGGGACUGAGACACGGCCCAGACUCCUACGGGAGGCAGCAGUGGGGAAUAUUGCACAAUGGGCGAAAGCCUGAUGCAGCGACGCCGCGUGAGGGAUGACGGCCUUCGGGUUGUAAACCUCUUUCAGCAGGGAAGAAGCGCAAGUGACGGUACCUGCAGAAGAAGCGCCGGCUAACUACGUGCCAGCAGCCGCGGUAAUACGUAGGGCGCAAGCGUUGUCCGGAAUUAUUGGGCGUAAAGAGCUCGUAGGCGGUCUGUCGCGUCUGGUGUGAAAUCCCGAGGCUCAACCUCGGGCUUGCAUCGGGUACGGGCAGACUAGAGUGCGGUAGGGGAGACUGGAAUUCCUGGUGUAGCGGUGGAAUGCGCAGAUAUCAGGAGGAACACCGAUGGCGAAGGCAGGUCUCUGGGCCGCAACUGACGCUGAGGAGCGAAAGCAUGGGGAGCGAACAGGAUUAGAUACCCUGGUAGUCCAUGCCGUAAACGUUGGGCACUAGGUGUGGGGCUCAUUCCACGAGUUCCGUGCCGCAGCU
rnacentral:rRNA from 1 species